UUACGGCCAUAUCUUGUUGAAACACCGGUUCACGUACGAUCAGCGAAAUUAAGCAACGUCGAGCCAGGACAGUACCUAGAUGGGUGACCGUUUGUGAAUACCAGCUGCUGUAAG